rnacentral:rRNA from 1 species
UGAGGAAUAUUGGUCAAUGGGCGAGAGCCUGAACCAGCCAUCCCGCGUGAAGGAAGAAGGCGCUAUGCGUUGUAAACUUCUUUUUCAGGGGGAUAAAAUCCUGCACGAGUGCGGGACUGAAGGUACCCUGAGAAUAAGCAUCGGCCAACUCCGUGCCAGCAGCCGCGGUAAUACGGAGGAUGCGAGCGUUAUCCGGAUUUAUUGGGUUUAAAGGGUGCGUAGGCGGAAUAAUAAGUCAGUGGUGAAACCCUGCAGCUUAACUGUAGACUUGCCAUUGAUACUGUUUUUCUUGAGUAUGGUCAAGGCAGGCGGAAUGUGUAAUGUAGCGGUGAAAUGCUUAGAUAUUACACAGAACACCGAUAGCGAAGGCAGCUUGCUGGGCCGUUACUGACGCUGAUGCACGAAAGCGUGGGGAUCGAACAG